GAUGAACGCUGGCGGCGUGCCUAAUACAUGCAAGUCGAACGAAACUUCUUUAUCACCGAGUGCUUGCACUCACCGAUAAAGAGUUGAGUGGCGAACGGGUGAGUAACACGUGGGCAACCUGCCCAAAAGAGGGGGAUAACACUUGGAAACAGGUGCUAAUACCGCAUAACCAUAGUUACCGCAUGGUAACUAUGUAAAAGGUGGCUAUACUACCGCUUUUGGAUGGGCCCGCGGCGCAUUAGCUAGUUGGUAGGGUAAAGGCUUACCAAGGCAAUGAUGCGUAGCCGAAUUGAGAGGUUGAUCGGCCACAUUGGGACUGAGACACGGCCCAAACUCCUACGGGAGGCAGCAGUAGGGAAUCUUCCACAAUGGGCGAAAGCCUGAUGGAGCAACGCCGCGUGGGUGAAGAAGGUCUUCGGAUCGUAAAACCCUGUUGUUAGAGAAGAAAGUGCGUGAGAGUAACUGUUCACAUUUCGACGGUAUCUAACCAGAAAGCCACGGCUAACUACGUG
rnacentral:rRNA from 1 species